AUUGAACGCUGGCGGCAGGCCUAACACAUGCAAGUCGAACGAGUGGCGGACGGGUGAGUAAUGUCUGGGAAACUGCCUGAUGGAGGGGGAUAACUACUGGAAACGGUAGCUAAUACCGCAUACCAUCAGAUGUGCCCAUAUGGGAUUAGCUAGUUGGUGGGGUAACGGCUCACCAAGGCGACGAUCCCUAGCUGGUCUGAGAGGAUGACCAGCCACACUAGAACUAGGACACGGUCCAGACUCCUACGGGGGACAGAAGUGGGGAAUAUUGCACAAUGGACGCAAGCCGGAGGCAGCCGUGCCGCGUGUAUGAAGAAGGCCUUCGGGUUGUAAAGUACUUUCAGCGGGGAGGCGUUACCCGCAGAAGAAGCGCCGGCUAACUCCAUGCCAGCAGCCGCGGUAAUUC
rnacentral:rRNA from 1 species